AACGCACCUUGCGCUCCUUGGUAUUCCGAGGAGCAUGCCUGUUUGAGUGUCAUUAAAUCCUCAACCCCAUCUCCCUUGUGGAUGAAAUGAGGUUGGAUAUGGAAGCUGCUGGCUGUUGUUGUUCAGCUCUUCUGAAAUAUAUUAGCAGGGCCUGCUGCAUUGUAAGGCUGCCGCUUGGUAUUGAUAGUUGUCUUACCAGGUGUCUGAGUUAGCAAUGUGCUCCCAGCUUCUAGUCGUCUCUCUGGGACAAUAAUCUGACGAUUUGACCUCAAAUCAGGUAGGACUACCCGCUGAACUUAA
rnacentral:misc_RNA from 1 species